AGAGUUUGAUCAUGGCUCAGGACGAACGCUGGCGGCGUGCCUAACACAUGCAAGUCGAACGAGUCCAGUCCUUCGGGACUGAGGCGAGUGGCGGACGGGUGAGUAACACGUGAGCAAUCUAUCCUGUUGCGGGGGACAACGAGGGGAAACCUUCGCUAAUACCGCAUGGUCGAGAGAUCCGCCUGGGUCUUUCGGGAAACGUGGCCUCUUUACAAUGCUACGGUGGCAGGAGGAGCUCGCGGGCUAUCAGCUAGUUGGUGAGGUAACGGCUCACCAAGGCAGCGACGGCUACGGGGUCUGAGAGGACGACCCCGCACAUUGGAACUGAGACACGGUCCAGACUCCUACGGGAGGCAGCAGUGGGGAAUAUUGGGCAAUGGGCGAAAGCCUGACCCAGCGACGCCGCGUGUGGGAGGAAGCCCUUCGGGGUGUAAACCACUGUCAGGAGGGACGAAAGAGCUCAUGGUGAAUAAUCAUGGGCAGUGACGGUACCUUCAAAGGAAGCACCGGCUAACUCUGUGCCAGCAGCCGCGGUAAUACAGAGGGUGCAAGCGUUGUUCGGAAUUACUGGGCGUAAAGCGCGCGCAGGCGGGUCCUGUAAGUCGGAAGUGAAAUUUCGGAGCUCAACUCCGAAGCUGCUUCUGAUACUGCGGAUCUAGGGACUGGUAGAGGCUGGUAGAAUUACAGGUGUAGCGGUGGAAUGCGUAGAUAUCUGUAAGAAUACCCGUGGCGAAGGCGGCCAGCUGGGCCAGAUCCGACGCUGAGGCGCGAAAGCGUGGGGAGCAAACAGGAUUAGAUACCCUAGUAGUCC
rnacentral:rRNA from 1 species